GCACAGGGCACAAGGGUCACUUCUCCUCUCUGGGCUCAGCUGCACACACCAAGUGGGUCACUGCAGGCGGGCGCAGAGGGAGGGGUCUCUGCAGUGAGAGGCCUGUCACACCCCCUGUCCCCUUGGGUCCCUGCCCCCUUGGAUGCUUGCCCCAUCUCCCCAGCUUCCCAGAUUGUGACCAUCACACCGAGCUCAGCCUGCCUCUCUCACAAGGACGAUCGCCUGCCCUAACGCUUGGCCACGCUGCCCCACAAGGACUGUGCUUUGAACAUGGGACUUCCCGGGUGCCUCCUGCUCCCAGCUGGGCACCCCCAUGGCAGGAGCUCGGCUGCCUGCGCUGGAGCUGGGAAUACAAGGAUCCCCAUCCUCCUGGCCUGGUUUUGGGCUUCUAUGACAGGACUCCCAAUGGCAGACUCAGGCAUCCCAGAACUAACUCAGCUCCGACUGGUGAACGGCCCGAGUCGCUGCGCUGGGAGAGUC